GAUCUGCCCUGCACUCUGGGAUAAGCCUGGGAACUGGGUCUAAUACCGGAUAUGACCUCCUGUCGCAUGGCGGGGGUUGGCAAAGGUUUUACUGGUGCGGAUGGGCCCCGCCUAUCAGCUUGUUUGGUGGGGUAUGGCCUCCCAGGCGACGACGGGUAGCCGCCUGAGGGCGACCGCCACACUGGACUGAGACACGGCCCAGACUCCUACGGUAGGCAGCAUUGGGGAAUAUUGCACCAAAUGGGCCGAAAGCCCUGAUGCAGCGACGCCGCGUGAGGUAUGACGGCCUUCGUGUUUGUAACCUCUUUCCACAGGGACGAAGCGAUAGUGACGGUACCUGCAGAAGAAUCACCGGCCAACUACGUGCCAGCAGCCGCGGUAAUACGUAGGGUGCGAGCGUUGUCCGAAUUACUGGGCGUAAGAGCUCGUAGGCGGUUUGUCCGCGUCGUCCGUGAAAACUGGGGCUCAACCCCAAGCUUGCGGGCGAUACGGCAGACUUGAGUACUGCAGGGAGACUGGAAUUCCUGGUGUGGCGGUGAAAUGCGCAGAUAUCAGGAGAACACCGUGGCGAAGGCGGGUCUCUGGGCAGUAACUGACGCUGGGAGCGAAAGCGUGGGUAGCGAACAGGAUUAGAUACCCUGGAGUCCACGCCGUAAACGGUGGGCGCUAGGUGUGGGUUUUCCUUCCACGGAUCCGUGCCGUAGCUAACGCAUUAAGCGCCCCGCCUGGGGAGUACGGCCGCAAGGCUAAACUCAAAGGAAUUUGACGGGGGGCCCGCACAAGCGGCGGAGCAUGUGGAUUAUUCGAUGCAACGCGAAGAACCUUACCUGGGUUUGACAUAUACCGGAAAGCCGUAGAAUACGGCCCCCCUUGUGGUCGGUAUACAGGUGGUGCAUGGCUGUCCGUCAGCUCGUGUCGUGAGAUGUUGGGUUUAAGUCCCGCAACGAGCGCAACCCUUGUCCUGUGUUGCCAGCGCGUAAUGGCGGGGACUCGCAGGAGACUGCCGGGUCAACUCGGAGGAAUGUGGGGACGACCGUCAAGUCAUCAUGCCCCUUAUGUCCAGGGCUUCACACAUGCUACAAUGGCCGGUACAGAGGGCUGCGAUACCGUGAGUGGAGCGAAUCCCUUUAAGCCGGUCUCAGUUCGGAUCGGGGUCUGCAACUCGACCCCGUGAAGUCGAGUCGCUAGUAAUCGCAGAUCAGCAACGCUGCGGUGAAUACGUUCCCGGGCCUUGUACACACCGCCCGUCACGUCAUGAAAGUCGGUAACACCCGAAGCCGGUGGCCUAACCCUUGUGGAGGGAGCCGUCGAAGGUGGGAUCGGCGAUUGGGACGAAGUCGUAACAAGGUAGCCGUACCGGAAGGUGCGGCUGGAUCACCUCCUUUCUAA
rnacentral:rRNA from 1 species